AACCACAUGAAAGUACUGGAGCAUAGACGGGGUGCCACCCGGGGCCUUAGAAGGUCCUGAGCAACCGAGCUUCAUUAACUUCAUGGGAAUUCUCCCUCUGCUUGUAGACUAUUGGGGUGAAGUUGCAUCCUUAGGGAUUACUUCCUCCACCUCCACACCUGCACACUUCUCUGUGGGCAGGGCCCCUGGGCAUGGGGAUAAAGACUAAUCCAGCAGGAGGAAGACUGGAAAGGUCCCUGCUUUGGGGACCUCCCAAAUUGAAAUUAAUCACAGCUAGCAUUUACUUCUCACUCGGUGCUCUGCACUGUUGUAAGAGCUAUGUGGAUAUUGACCCAUUUAAUCCUCCCAAUCACUCCAUAAAAAUAAAAAGGAGAAAAGGCUGUCUCACAGAUGAUAUUCCAAGAGCAUCCCUUCCUCAGGGCCCUUCUAUUAUACUUGCUGUUUCUACCUACCUGCUACAGUCUCCACUUAGAUGCCUGCCUG
ensembl:lncRNA